AGGGUUUGACAUGCUAGUGGUAGGAAACCGAAAGGUGACCCGACCCGUUCGGGGAGCUAGCACAGGUGCUGCAGUGGCUGUCGUCAGCUCGUGUCGUGAGAUGUUCGGUUAAGUCCGCUAACGAGCGCAACCCUCGCUGUGUGUUAUAUGUGUCACAUGGGACUGCCGGCCUUAAGCCGGAAGAAGGUGGGGAUGAUGUCAAGUCAGCAUGGCCUUUAUGUCCUGGGCUACACACACGCUACAAUGGGAAGGGACAAUAGGUUGCGAAGCCGCGAGGCGGAGCCAAUCCAGCAAAACUUCCCUCAGUUCAGAUUGCAGGCUGCAACUCGCCUGCAUGAAGUUGGAGUUGCUAGUAAACGCAGGUCAGCCAUACUGCGUUGAAUACGUUCCCGGGGCUU
rnacentral:rRNA from 1 species